GGGAAGGUAGCUCAGUGGUAAAGCGCAUGCCUUGCAAGCAUGAGGCCCUGGGU
rnacentral:tRNA from 1 species